rnacentral:misc_RNA from 1 species
AACGCACAUUGCGCCUAUUGGUAUUCCAAUAGGCAUGCCUGUUCGAGCGUCAUUUAAAUCUUCAAGCCUUGCUUGGUGUUGGGUGCUGUCUCGGCGACCAAAUAUUUUUUGGGUUUCUGUAGACUCGCCUUAAAUAAAUUGGCAGCCGGCAAUUGGGUGUUGGAGCGCAGCACAAUUUGCGUUCCCAGCCAUAGCGGCUUUGGCGUCCACAAAGCUUACUUUAACGUUUGACCUCGGAUCAGGUAGGGAUACCCGCUGAACUUAA